UACGGGGGGAGCAAGCGUUGUUCGGAUUUACUGGGCGUAAAGGGCGCGUAGGCGGCCACCGCAAGUCGACUGUGAAAUCUCCGGGCUUAACCCGGAAAGGUCAGCCGAUACUGCGGGGCUAGAGUGCAGAAGGGGCAACUGGAAUUCUCGGUGUAGCGGUGAAAUGCGUAGAUAUCGAGAGGCACACCUGCGGCGAAGGCGGGUUGCUGGGCUGACACUGACGCUGAUGUGCGAAAGCUAGGGGAGCGAACGGG
rnacentral:rRNA from 1 species